CGUAACAAGGUCUCCGUAGGUGAACCUGCGGAGGGAUCAUUACACAAAUAUGAAGGCGGGCUGGAACCUCUCGGGGUUACAGCCUUGCUGAAUUAUUCACCCUUGUCUUUUGCGUACUUCUUGUUUCCUUGGUGGGUUCGCCCACCACUAGGACAAACAUAAACCUUUUGUAAUUGCAAUCAGCGUCAGUAACAAAUUAAUAAUUACAACUUUCAACAACGGAUCUCUUGGUUCUGGCAUCGAUGAAGAACGCAGCGAAAUGCGAUAAGUAGUGUGAAUUGCAGAAUUCAGUGAAUCAUCGAAUCUUUGAACGCACAUUGCGCCCUUUGGUAUUCCAAAGGGCAUGCCUGUUCGAGCGUCAUUUGUACCCUCAAGCGUUGCUUGGUGUUGGGCGUCUUGUCUCUAGCUUUGCUGGAGACUCGCCUUAAAGUAAUUGGCAGCCGGCCUACUGGUUUCGGAGCGCAGCACAAGUCGCACUCUCUAUCAGCAAAGGUCUAGCAUCCAUUAAGCCUUUUUUUCAACUUUUGACCUCGGAUCAGGUAGGGAUACCCGCUGAACUUAA
rnacentral:rRNA from 1 species